AGCUCAUGAAGCAGAAGGUUUCAACUGUGCGUAAACUGUGCAAGGCCUGUAAUUUGGAUGCAAAGGGAUCGCGGAUGGAUCUGAUUCUUAGACUUAGGCAAGAGAUGAAGACACGACACUCAUACGACAAGAUAUUCCAGAAAAUCUGGGGAGCAUCUGGUGGGUGGUCAGUGAUUCUCUGCCCACAUGGUGUGGUGUACAGUUUGAAGUUUAACCUGCGUGCAGAGUCUCCACGAGAUUUUGCUGACCUCCUUCUAUCCUGGAAACAUCUGCCAAAUGUCGCAGUUUAUGACUUUGCUCGGGGUCUGGCAACUCAUGUCAACCUACGUUGGCCAACUGUGAUACCUUUCAAACCACAUGAAGGGAGAUUGGCUGCAUCGACACCACAGAACAUCACAGCAGCUCAGCAGAACAAACUCAA